CCACGCUCUGGGGCGGUGUGAGCCGGAACAGUCGCUGAGCCGGGCCCCCUAGGAGACGCCCCCCCCCCGGGAGCAGCCAGAAGCCGCGAAAUGCCCUUUCACGUCUCCUGCGCUCUGGUAGAUGGGGUUGGGCGAGCCUCGCGCGGGCCAGAAGCCGCAGUGGGUGAGCGCGCGGAGAGCCUGUCUUGGGGUAGCCAAGCCAACGUGAUGAAUUGUCCCCUUUGCUCAGCAUCUUGCUUUGCAUUUCGAAGGCUAACUGUUUGUGAACUACCGUAUUCCCCUUAGGGGAAAGGGGAACUUAAGGAAAUUCCCCUGGGUAGCUUAGUGGUAGGGCAUAUGCUUUGCGUGUCGAUGGCCCCAGGUUCAAUUGUUGGCAUCUCUAGGUAGGGCUGCUGGGAAAGAUUCUUGAGAAAACUUAGCAGGUCAUGUGUAGUUAGGUAACUGGUUGAAGGGCAGGAAACAGGGUGAUAAUCAGGAAUGGAGCCAGCCGAAUGGUGGACUGUGUCCAGCUCUGCCCAGUGGCCCCUAUAGUGACUCCCCCUGUGCAUGAUGUCACAUGUACUGGGGCGUGGCCUGGAUAGAGGUCUGUAUAGCUCUUCCCCUGUCCAUUUAAGGCAGCAUUUGCUGCCUGACAGCAUUUCUUUCUUUCUCCCUACCUCACUGGAGGGAGCAAGGGAAAUAAAGGCUGCCAGGCAGCAAAUGCUGCCUUAAAUGGACAGGGGAGAGCUCACCCGGGGCUCUCUGGAGCCCGAGCCAUGCCCCCCAGCGGGAUUCAGCAGGCUUUACCAUUGGCGGCCUUUAAACCUGUUCCUUCAGUGGUUGCGCCGCCAAAUUGAGAGUUUUCUAAAUGGAGGGAGGAAAGAAGUGGUGGGGCCCAGGGAUCUCUGCUUGGACCAGUGCUUUCUAGCUUAUUCAUAAAUUAUCUAGAUGCUGGUGUAAGCAGCAAAGUGGCUAAAUUUGCAGAUGGCACUAAACUAUUUAGCGUAGUGAAAUCCACAACAGAUUGCUAAGAGCUCCAAAAGGAUCUCUCCAAACUGGGGGAGUGGGCAACAGAAUGGCAAAUGAGAUCCAAUGUUAGCAUGUGUAUAGUGAUGCAUUUUGGGACAAAAAACCCAACUUCACAUGUACACUGUUGGGGUCUCACCAGGAGAGGGAUCUUGGGAUUGCCCUCAAUUUAUGUGCCCAUCUUCAUCCACAACUUUUCACAACUCAUUCUGCUGAAAUGAGCUACUAGAAGCAGCCUUCAGGUUGUGGAGGUGAAUGGUGUGAGGUGGCCCCGGGCUUAUUUUGGGGUGUGCAGCACUAGUUCCUUAUUUAAACAUAUACUGGAUAUUCCUGCAUAUUUCUAUUGUAAACUAUUUGAGAUAGUGUUGUAAGAACAGCCCUGCUAGAUCAGGCCCAAGACCUAUCUAGUCCAGCAUCCUGUUUCACACAGUGGCCCACCGGAUGCCUCUGAGAAGCCCACAGGAAAGAGCUGAGGGCAUGCCCUUUCUCUUGCUGCUGCUCCCCUGCAACUUGUAUUGAGAAGCAUCUUGUCUGAGGUUGGAAGUGGCCUAUAGCCCUCAGAGUAGUUGCCACUGAUAGACUUGUCGUCCUUUAAUUUAUCUAAACCCGCUACUUUGGUGGGCUAGCCGCUGUUGAGCGGUGGUUCUCACAACUGGGGGAAACAGAGCUGGGCUCCCUUAGCCCGGUUUCCUCUAUUGUGUGAAAAGCCUCUAAGCGUGUAGGUGUGCUCAUGUGUUUAUGGUGUUGUAAUACACAGUGUGAUACCUCUAUCAUGUUAUAUCAUGUUUAAUCCCUGCACAGGGCAUAUAACCAAACUCCAUGCAAGAAAGACAAAUCCAUCCAACUGGCAUCAAGCCAGUUGCAAGCCUUUGGCUCAACUCCCUAGUCCAUGUACCUUGUUGUAACUAAACCUAAACAAGUAUAAAUGACACAGUCACAUAUUGUUUCCUAUUUUACCCUUGCGUCCAUUUACCUCCCCUUUCUCCAUUGUCUCCCUUACCCUUAACAUCAGUUUUGGAUUGUGAGCCCACUGGGACAGGGACCUGUCAUCUCAUGACUUGUAAAGCACCAUGUACACGGAAGAUACCAUAUAAAUUAAGAAGAAGAAUCCACACAAUGGACUGAACCAGGACAGCCUAUUUACCUAUGGUUUCACAUCCAUACAGGAGAAGAGACAACAGACAAGAUACACUAUUUCAUCAUUCUGAUUCUGAGUUGCAAAUCUCGUUUACUGUUGCAGAGGAAGAUCUUCAUUUGGUUAAAUUUUGUUCUUGCUUGCCCUAUGUGGCUUCAGAUUUCUUUUGUUUGGUCAUUAUCAUGAUAAAGGUUUUCCCCCUAGAUAACAGUAAUUUCCUACUUGAUCUAGGUUUUUGUUAUUGCAUUGUAUUUUGAGUGGGAUUCUCAUUUUACUUAUGCACAUUAAGUAUAAGAGGAUGCUAAUAUCCCCAAUACUAGAUGCCUUGCUGGUAUUGAGAUACCCAGCUUACCUCCGCCACUUAACCUUGCACUCCUCAAACACUGUUUUCUCUUUGCAGGAUAGGCUUCUCAAAGAAACUCCAGAAAACUCCUUCCUUUCUCCUUUUCUUUCUGUGAACUCAGCCCUUUACUUGGAUAAACUCUCCUUCCUCCCACACCUCAUUCUCCUGCUUCUCGUCCACCCUCAGCUUCCCCAUUCUUUUGAUCACCUGCUGUAACUUGACCAUUUCCUGAUCUUUCAUAAACUCAGGAUCCUUAAAUGGGCCCCACCCAGAUAUGCCAGGCUUUGUAGUAUGUCUGGAAUAUGUGCCCAUGCUCCCCUUAUAAUGACACAUAAUGACUUCCCUGCACGCAUCCAUCCUAUGACCUUGGCCCCACACCUCUGACAUAUUUUAACAGAGCACAUGUAGUUGAAAUUAUCAAGAGAGCCACAGCUAAAGCAAAUCCUUGGCCAAUAAUACCCCAUUGGACCCCAUCUAGAACAUAUUGGGCACAUAGCUUUCUUGGCUUUGCUAAUCUCUUGUCAAUUCUGUGGCUCCCCAGAAUUAUCCUGUCCAGGCCCUAUGCAUGCCAUAUGCCCUUUCUGGUGGCUUGUGUGUACCCUCCUCACAACCAGAACUUAAAUGUGUCAAACCCUUGCCCUUCAGAAACACAAAGAUGUGAAAUGGCUGGUGAUAAAGCAAAAGAGGUUUAGAUGUCUUUUCCCUCAGAAGCAGAAGGGUUUGCGAUUGUCUUGAGGGAGUAUACUUCAAGUUGAGAGGUUUCCUGCUCUUUUUGUUCAAAUCCUCCCUCCCCCAACCCUUUUCACUGCAUUUCAUUAACUCUGCCCACCUGGUUGUCUGUUAAGUGCCCUCUGAAUCCAUGAACAUUUCAUUCCAUUGAGUUACAUUGGGGCACUUGGGCAGGGGGCAAUCUGGCUUCCUUAGGUUUUUUCAUUCUGAUUUUUUUGAAACUGACAUAUCUGUGGGUUACUCCAAGUCUGCCAGUACCUCAUUUUCACCUGCAGGUUCUCCAAUUACGUGUCCAUAAGGAUCAUAACAUUUCCAGCUCUUUUGGAAAUAGAUAGAAGUUAAUCGGAAUGCUAGGAAAACAAAGUUUCAAGCACAGAAGUGCUCUUUUGGAUGAAGAAACCUGGCGUGUCAGCACUAGAUAAGAUUAAAAGAACAAACCCAAAACCUGUGCUUCUCUUGCCAAGAGAAGAUAGUUUGAUAAGUGUCUGUAAGUGUCCACAUGAAAGUGGAAUGAGGAAGCAACCAUGCGAUGAACCAAAUUGACAUUCCUGGAAGGAUAUCUAUGUGUUCUGUUUCCAGUAUAGCUUCAACCAUUUUCCAGUUUUAAAUAAAUACAACGAAUAAAGGCAAGCAAGUUGAGACAAAUAGAUUAAAGACAGAUCCAUCAAUGGCUGUUGGUCAUUGUAGCUGAAGAACCCUCUCUGUUGAGGGGUAGCAUACCAAUGAUUACCAGAUGCUAGAAGAUUGUUCAUGAGCCUCCUAGAUGUUGGAGAUGGACAUGGGCAUAGCAUCCAUUGGAUGAGGGGGUGCAAAUGUCCUUGGGCCCAGAGGGUCAAGAGGCUUUGCCUCUACUCUAUAACCUCUGCCUUGACUCUUCAGGUAUUUCCUGUAGCAACUAGCGAGUCAGUUCUACUUCCUUUCUCCUUGGAGAGCAGAUGGGAGCGGAGCGUCUCUCUUUUUCUCCCCUCCUAUUCACUAUGUAACUUAUAGUUAGGAUAGGUCUUUCCUGUCUCAAAUGUAGUAAACCUAAUAAAUCCUAUUUACUUUAUACUGCACUACAAUCUCCAUGCUUGUUCUUGACUAACUGCAACAACAGUAGUGCUCUGCACUACUUCGUAACUGGAGUGGGCAGCUUCCUCUUGGUGAUUUGCUAAACAAUUUGCUAAACAAAUUACAACACUAGAAGCAUCUGGUUAAGUGCUGUUGAAGGCAGGAUGUGGACUCUAGCCUGAUUCAGCUUAUGUUCCUGUCUUGUGAGGUAUCUCUAACCACUGUAUUGUGCAGACUUUCAAGGGGUUGCAUUUACUGGCAACCUGAUUUUUUUUUUCCCCAUAAGGGAAGUGGAACCAACUUCAGGCUUGGCCCACCCCCGUUUUUUAACUAACAAACUUGGUUUGCUUGAAAAAUGUAGUUUGAGUGCACAACUCUGUUUCCUGGAAUGUUGGCUGUUUCCUAGGCAAUGUUACUACAGAAUCAUUUCAAGUGAGUUUAUGAUGCCGGGAUGGGUGGGAUGGCACUGGGAAGAGAAAGUAAACUGAACCAAUUCAGCUUGAUCAAAAGAGUUUGGAAUGCUACAACAUUGAGAGGGAGAGAGCACAGGCAUAACGAUAUUGAGCAAUCCUCGGCAUAAAAUGAGAAUUGCACUGGCAGUCCUGUGAACAAACUUUGGUGGUGUCUAACUAUGCUGGGGAAGUUUUUUGUUUUUUUUUUUUUUGUUUGUUUUGAAGAAAGAAACUGUGUAAUGAAAAUGUAUUAAAACUGCUUCUUAGCAUA